AAAAGGUUCUCCUCGUGUCAAUAACUCUGAUGUUGUGUCUAACGUUCAUGGCGCGAUUUUUCUGCUUCUGCAAUAUGAUCUUCAAAUAUUUCCCGUUUCUGAUUCUGCAGAGUAACAAUGCCUGCGUGUGUGCGCGUGCGCUUGUGGCAAGAAAUUCUCCUACUGCCAAUGUUAUUUUUAACUCAUUAAUGCACGUGCGAGCGUAAAUACUUCCACGGCUCGAUGAGAGUUGCACUUUACAAGCAACGAUGUGUGUGUGUGUGUGUGUGUGUGUGUGUGUGUGUGUGUGUGUGGGCGCGCCCGCCCUCGGGACAAGCAGCGGCCAGCAGCUGUUUGACGCACGCAUGGAGCUGUACACGGGGGCGAAAUGCGGGCUUUUCUCCUUCUAUUUCUUCUUCUUUGCUCCGAUGUGUUGACGUUUGUAACAAUCGCGUGUGCAGCAGGUUAUUUCUGGGGAUUUUUCUGCCGGUUUAGCGCAGCUGACCUGCAGGAGGUGGACACACGCCGCAGAUCUCGCCGUUGCGCCUGCCUACACCUGGCUACAGGAGACGCGUUUGCGUUAAUCCCUCAUCCUGAUACAGAUCAGAGGAGUAUAAGGACUUGGAUGCAACACGGCGGUUGAGGGAGUGCGAGCUGGCAACAGAUAAGAGGGACGUUUUAAACUGCAGAUGGAAACGAGCUCUAAAUGCUACACGCAGAAGACAAUCAGGCCGAGAGAACCUGCAAACCCGAGCUACUGUUAUCUCUUGAUGAGACUCUUCCAUCAGAAUACUGCAUCAGUUCAUGUGAUUGUGCCCAUAAGAAAAUCCUUUUCCUUUUUUUUUCGGUGCGUCUGAGUCCACUAGGUGGUGACAACCUUUUUCCUGUUGAACUAUUACAUUACGGACAAAAAUAAAGUCUUUAUGUCCUCACUCUCUUUGGCCCAACAUGCUUGCAGAGCAUUUCCUUCAUGCUAUUGUGUGCAUGCACUCGUAGAUCACAGUUCAUGACAAUAAUAUCAGGGUGCUUGUCAGGGUUUUAUGACUUAGACGGGUCUAUUUGUAAAACUAUAUUCUGCAGUGGCCAGUGAGCAGCAUAACCAGGUGUGUGUUCUCAAUAGGAUUAGUAGCAAAAUAUUGUUCUGCCAGUGUUUUAAUUGUUGUUAUUGCAGUUUUAACAAAUCAGUGGCAUUCAAAUAGAUUAAAAUUUGAUGUUUUCUAAAUGAUGAAAAAUUUGUCCUCAACCACCACAUAAAAGUAGUAUGAAUCAGUUAUUGUUGUUAGUAGUAGAUUGCUAGUUUGCCAUUUUAGUGCAUUAAAUUACUAAUAAUUUGCUGUUUUGGACACAGAUUAGCAGAAAUCUAUGGAACAUAUAACAUUGUAUUCAGUUUUUUUUGUACAUGUACAUUGUGUGUGUGUGUGUGUGUGUGUGUGUGUGUGUGUGUGUGUGUGUGUGAAAACCCACUCCGCCCUCAAUUAGCCGCUGACGGACAGGUCAAUGGCCCGUCAGCACAUCCUCGCUGACGGGCGAACGGCGACACAUUCCUCCUCCUGUCGCUCCGGCCGUUCCGUCCUCACCCCUCUCAGCCUCCCACUGCGGUAGGUCAGGUGGGGACGGGGGAAACAUCAAAAAUAGGCGUAGAUGGCGCUGAAGGCACACCGAGUGAAAGAGGAGAUUUUUAUAUUUUUUAUAUCUCCGCUGUUUCAAGUUCACUGAUCCCCCCCCCCCCCCCCCCCCCCCCCCCCCCACACACACACACACCACCCCACCAAACCAGACUGCUCGGAUGUCCUGCCCUUUCAACACACCUGAGCUCUCCCCUCUGUUCCACCACCCCCACCACCACCACCACACACACACACACACAUACACACACACUUCUUUUUCUCAGCUAUAUCUCAGUGCUACAAAUCCCUCCUUACCCCAGCAGAAUUCCUUCCUUCCCACAUUUGCUCCUCUCCCAUUUCCACCUUCCCUCUCAAUGGGC
rnacentral:lncRNA from 1 species